rnacentral:rRNA from 1 species
AUGGCAGCCUCUUCCUCGCUCCCCGUGGUCAUCUGGGCGCUGCUCCUCCUCCUCCUCGUCGAGGCGUUCGCGCCAGCAACAGCAGCAGCAGCAGCGAGCCCCUCCAAGCGCCCCGCCCAUCAGCCUCCUCUUUUCCCCGUGGGACUCGCUCCCCUGCAUCCGAAGCAGUCGAGCGGCAGGUACGCCGCCGCCGCCGUCACGGCCUCAGCCUCCGCGGCGACGGACAACGGCACGGUGAAACCGUUCACGGCGCACUACUUCCUGCAGGAGCUGGACCACUUCACCUUCACGCCCAACUCCUCCCACCUCUUCUCCCAGAAGUACCUCCUCAACGACACCUUCUGGCGGCGGAAGCCCAACGCCGGGCCGCUGUUCGUGUACACCGGCAACGAGGGCGAAAUCGAGUGGUUCACCACCAACACCGGCUUCAUGUUCGACAUCGCGCCCGACUUCGGUGCCCUCCUCGUCUUCAUUGAGCAUCGGUUCUACGGGGAGUCGAUGCCGUUCGGGAACGACUCCGACUCGUACAGGUCGGCAGAGACGCUGGGCUACCUCACGUCCAUGCAGGCGCUCGCCGACUUCGCCAUCCUCAUCACCAGCCUCAAGCAGAACCUCUCCGUCAUCGACGCACCCGUGAUCGUCUUCGGCGGCUCCUACGGCGGCAUGCUGGCAUCAUGGUUCAGGCUCAAGUAUCCCCAUGUCGCCAUGGGAGCAGUGGCAUCCUCUGCACCGAUCCUGCAGUUCGACGACAUCACCCCGUGGUCUAGCUUCUAUGACGCCAUCUCGCAGGACUUCAAGUCUGAGAGCCUGAAUUGCUUCAGUGUCAUCAAGGCAGUCUGGGAUGUGCUGGAUGAUCGGGGAUCCAACCACACAGGCCUCUUGGAGCUCAGCAAAACCUUCAGGGCUUGCAAGACCGUGCAGUCCGCUGAUUCGCUGAGUAACUGGCUAUGGAAUGCAUUCACCUACACCGCCAUGGUGGACUAUCCAACCCCAGCCAAUUUCAUGAUGAAUCUGCCUGCUUACCCUGUGAAGGAGAUGUGUAAGAUCAUUGAUUCUUUUCCUGCGGGAGCAGACAUCAUCGACAAAGCUUUCGCCGCGGCGAGCCUGUACUACAAUUACUCAGGGGACCAGAAAUGCUUUGAGAUGGAGGGUGGCGAUGACCCUCAUGGCCUCGAUGGCUGGGGUUGGCAGGCCUGCACGGAGAUGGUCAUGCCGAUGAUUGUGUCCAAUAUGAGCAUGUUCCCACCGUUCAGCUUCAGUUACGAGAACAAUUCCGAGGGCUGCCUCACGUACUACGGAGUUCGUCCGAGGAUGCACUGGAUCACUACUGAAUAUGGUGGCCAUAAAAUUGACAAGGUUCUCAAGAGGUUUGGGAGCAACAUCAUCUUCUCCAACGGAAUGCGAGACCCGUGGAGUCGAGGCGGGGUACUCAAGAACAUAUCAUCCAGCAUCAUUGCUCUUGUGACGGAGAAAGGGGCCCAUCAUUUGGACUUCAGAUCUGCAACCAAGGAUGAUCCAGAAUGGGUUGUAGAACAAAGGAGACAGGAAGUUGAGAUCAUACAUGGAUGGAUAGAUCAGUAUAACAAGGACAUUGCACAGAUGUAG